ensembl:misc_RNA Metazoa_SRP Metazoan signal recognition particle RNA
GCUGGGUAUGGUGGUGUGUGCCUGUAAUCCCAGCUACUUGGGAGGCUGAGGCAGGAGAAUUGCUUGAACCCAGGAGGCGGAGGUUGCAGUGAGCUGAGAUCGUGCCAUUGCACUCCAGCCUGGGUAACGAGCAAAACUCCAUCUCAAGAAAAAAAAAUAUGGUGACCACCAGGGAGCAUGGGACCACCAGGUUGCCUAAGGAGGGGUGAACUGGUUCAGAUUGGAAACAAAGCGGGUCAAAACUUCUGUGCUGGUCAGUAGUGGGAUCACACCUGUGAAUUACCACUGCACUCCAGCCUGGGCAACAUAGCAAGACCCUAUCUUUA